UUUUGAUUGAAGGUGCAUUAUUUAUCUUAUUAUUUUCAGUCAAGAAGACCGAUGGACAACGUGUGUACCAACAAACGAUGGGUUUACAUCACGCGAGGGCGAUCGGACGUUGAUUAAUAUUGAUUUACAUUCACGUAAAGUAAGGGAAUAUAAGUUAAGAAACUUGUUUGCUUUGUUAUAUAAUCGGGGUCCAAUAAAAUAAAAAUGUUGACUGGAUGCAGCAGUUCUACAGUAAUUGCUGGGCAAGUGCAGUUUUUCAUUGUAUUACAUGAGGCAUGUGCAAUAAGUGUGAAAGAUGAGGGAGGGAGAGAAGAGGAUUUUAAUGCAAAGCACAUAUAUUUGGUUUUAUUGACAUUGAGGGUCAGCAGAUUAUACGCUAACCAGUUCAUAACAACAGAUAGUGAUUGUUCAGCACGCAGCCUAG